AUUGAACGCUGGCGGCAGGCCUAACACAUGCAAGUCGCACGAGUGGCGGACGGGUGAGUAAUGUCUGGGAAACUGCCUGAUGGAGGGGGAUAACUACUGGAAACGGUAGCUAAUACUGCAUAACAUCAGAUGUGCCCCGAUGGGAUUGGCUUGUUGGUGGGGUAACUGCUCACCAAGGCGCCGAUCCCUAGCUGGUAUGGGAGGAUGACCAGCCACGCUGGACCUGAGACACGGUCCAGACUCCUACGGGAGGCAGCAGUGGGGAAUAUUGCACAAUGGGCGCAAGCCUGAUGCAGCCAUGCCGCAUGUAUGAAGAAAGCCUUCGGGUUGUAAAGUACUUUCAGCGGGGAGGCGUUACCCGCAGAAGAAGCACCGGCUAACUCCGUGCCAGCCGCCGCGGUAAUUC
rnacentral:rRNA from 1 species